GGUACAACACCGUUGCAUUGGUCAUUCACACUGGCUUGUCGUUAGGUUAGCUAAUUGGCAUGUCAUGGUGACAUCAAGAUUCCAGAUGGUGAACAACAAUACAAGUUAUUUCUCCCUUGCCCAUUGAAAUAAACAUCACUUUCUUUUACAAAUUUUAACUAGAGCCAAGCUGUUGUUGCCAGAUAGCCAGCGUAAACCAGCUAGCUGGUAAGGGCUCAUCAGGAUGACUGACUAAACCAAAUCCAUUCGUCUCGACUCUCAGCUGUGCGACAUAGGUUAUCAAUUUUGGCUCCAGGAGUGUCUGUAUAGCCUCUCCCUUUUGUGCAAUAGGCUCCUUCCUGAAUGUAUACUUCUAAUGCUGUCCCCAAGAGUGUCACGUUUGAUUGACAAUAGCCUGUACACUGUAUUGUUGGAGAGCCUAGGUCAGGAGAACUCCAAAAGGUGGCAUACCUUGGUAUUUUAGCUCGAUGUCCAAAAACAUCCAGUGUUGUCUUUAUUAUGUGUUACAUGAUUUGUAGCAUUAUGGUUUUGGGUUAAGAUUAUUAUUUUAAAAAUUGUAAUAGCCUAUCUUCGUUUCUAAUCAUAAAGAAGUGUUGUUUGAUUCAGCCAAUAAUCAUGAUUGAAAGGUCAAUAAAAUAUAUGGCCAUAACAUUCUUUAGACAGAUUUAUCUGUGAUGCACUUUGCCAUACAUAGACCUACACUAUUUAAUUCACUGGUCAUUUCCCAAUCAAGUCAAUAGAGAAAAAGCAAACUCAGGAGUCGAUAUGUCUGUUUCAGGUGUUUAUUCAACCAUUUAGCCGUACAAUUUCAAAUUGAUAAAUAGUAAAUAAAUACAUUAUACAUAUAGAAUAUUUAAAUCAUUUGGUUAUGGUUUGAAGCUGUUCAGUCCUUGGAACACUUGUCUCAGCUGCUCCAGAAACACCCGUGGAGACACCACUGGUUCACAAUGAGGGGCCAGCUGCUGAAAGCCCGGCUAUGAGAGAGAAUAACAUAUACAUCCGUUAAGAUCGUUGUAAAUGUAAGCAAUGUAAUGGUAAUUUCAUGGCUCUUCAGUUUUCUCUGCCAUAUUCAGAAUGGCAUUAUAGUCUAAGAGCAAUUCUGUGCAUGUUUAAGGAAAAUAACUUACCUUGGACCAAAAAUUCAAUCUUCUAAUCAGUAAGCGUGCAACAGGAUGCACACUACUCAGUGACGCAAGUCCCUGUUUGAAGUAGUCUGGUGUGCACGUUUCCUAUUCAAAGUAACGGAAGAAAAGGGUUAUAAAGGUACACAUUGAAUGAAAUGACUACUGUAUAAACUCCAAUGUACAUAUUUAUGCGUCGCUUACCACUAAUGUGAUGGGGAUUCGGAGACACUGGCAUUUUAGAUCCUGCAGAGAAAAGAAUCUUCUAGCUUGGAUGGAAGGAUGGAGGAGGGAACAAAGGGAAGGAGUACAGAAGUUAUUCAACCUGCUGACUAAGAAAUUUCCUAAAACAUGUCAAUGUCCUGAUGCAUGGCCUUUACAG